AGGUGUAGCCUUCCUGGACUCUCACACAUCGGCCAUUUUCACAUCCAUUCAGAAUACCACAUUCCUCUGCUUGUAACUCCUCAAAGCUGUUCAGAAAACCUGAGCGAAGAAAGAAUUACAAACAAGACUUAACAGUGAGCUGGGCCAGAUCCAUCUACAACCCUGACAUUCCUGAAGCACAGCUGAGAUGAUGUAUACAAUCCCUCACACCCUGCCUGCAGCCUAUUCCAGUCUGAAGGCUGUAUGCGUGUAUGCUCUCUAGUCAUCCUUUGUUCUGGAGUUUUGCUGCAGAGUGAGAACAGCUUGCAUGCUAUUUCUUCCAUAUGAAUUGUGCUGGAAAAUCAGGAAAAACUGGCAUGGAGAAUGUGACAACGUGGGCUCGAUCUCCUGUGACGUACUCUUGAGAGUGUUACAUCAGGACACAGCCAACAGAUGAAUUUCCACCAAAUGAAAUCUAAACAGAGGUCUCAAAAAUACAAAUAAGAAGUAACCAAAAGCUGAGUAAACCACGUUAAGCUACAGCUAUCUGCAACAGGAUAACAUAGAUAAAAUUCUUCCUUUCUCAAAAUAGUCAUGAUGCAAGCCAGUGCUGACAACUGAUGCCCAAUUGCACUGUUGGGGCUGUGGAAGCACUGCACCAGAUUUGAAUGUGGUUUGUCAAAGCUACAAGAUGCACAGCUAUCCUGUCAUGCUUCGUAGGGAGAUAGCAUACUACUCCUAUAUGAACAUGCUGCAGCUGGCUCAGGGGGAGGGCUGAAGUAUUCACUGUUGGGCAAACCAACAUUAUUUAUUUCUGCUCAUCCUGCAGUGACCACAUAGAGCUUGUGCCCACUUAUGAAUGGGGAAGAAAAGACUUGAAUUCCUCUUCAAUUGACAGUCAUUUGUUUCCAGAAUGAAAUAGGAACAUGCAAAAUGCACAGAGGUAGACGAAUGAGCUACAUAUUGUCCACUUCUGAAACGUUUCCAGAACAAAAUAGGAACAUGCAAAAUGGACGGAGGUCAAAGAAUGAGAUACAUAUUGUCCACUUCUGAAACAUCACAUGGCGGUUUCCCCAUCUGACCGGUCUGUCUCUGAGAUCUUCUGAAGCAAAAGUCAAUUUUUGUAAGAGGAGAGGGAGAAAAAAAAAACAAAAAAACCCAAGAAACCAGAAAGGCUGCAGGGUGUACAGGAAAGCAAAUACUUUUUGAACCAAUAGCAGAAAAGUAAGAAAGUAAGACCUCUGUUCAUAGAACUGUGACUUUCCCUUAUUCUAGUUCAAGAGCAUAUGGCAUAAAGAACAUCUCACAUGGAAAUUCCUAAUUUCCAUGUCUCCUGUGUGACGUCUUCCUUCUUGAUGAUCUUACCAGAGGAGACAAAACUGAAGCAUGCGCUUUGUGAGGGCCCAGUGAACGCUGGAUGAGGAGGAAAAAUGGCUUCUUCCAAACUGGUCACAGUAAGACUGUGAUGAGAACAAAACAGCACUAGUACUUCCAACAGAGUUCUCAUCUAUACAGAGUGUGUCUGCCACACUCUAGGUCUCGCUCUCCAUAGUAAUGGUUGGGUAUGGCCUUCGCUACUCUCAGAACUUGGUUUCUUUUUUCUGUGCUCAGGUGCUCUGCUAAUUUAUUGGCGUUGAUUUUGUUUCAAGAAAACUGCUGAAUUCUCCCAAAUUCUACCCAAACACAAUACCAAAAUAAUAUCAUUCACGCCUGAAAAUCUUGAGAAUAUAAUUCAUACGCUCUUAUUCCAUCAGUUUAUGGAAUAAAUCUAAAUGCUGCUACUUGCGUUAGCAUCAGUUAUCACCUGUUGUGCUUCAUGGUAGAAAGGUACUGUAGGACUGCAAACACUGCUCACAAAGAGGAGUGGAGGCAGUGCACCUGGGCAUGGGGCUUCUGCCUCAGCCAUCUUCCUUUUUUCAUUCCUGGAAGCCUGACUCUUUCUUACAGGAAUUUGUAGAAGUUUCAGCUUGUCAGUCAGCUGUUAAUGAUACUUCACAGGCAACAUCUUGAGUGCUGCUGAGUGCUACAUUCAAGAAUCUAAAUACUUGUGCUUGGGUCACAGAUGUUUCAGCCUUGUUUACAAGUCUGAGUGAUACCAGAAAAUAGCCUCAGCUUUGGAAGUUCUGGAGGCUGCAUCCAGCAGAAGAGUCCGUUUUUUUAAAGCAUUCCAGGAGCUACAUCUGACUACAGUGCAAGAAAGAAAUAGAAAAAUACCAAGAUUUGCAUGCCAGAGGGGGAAAACCGUGUGAGUUCUUUGUUUAUUGUUCUCGGCUGCUCCCUAUACUGGGUUGCUUCUUCUCUCCAGAUUGGAUCAGUGUAGAAAACCAGAAGCAAAUUCACAAGGUCUAAGUUUGUUCUUCAAGAGUGUAUUUCCAGUAGUGUUUGCAACAUUCAGAACACCUGAAUGAAACCUCACAAAUCUUUUAAGAUGGACAAUGAGAAAAAAAGAGGACAAAAGAUGGAGUAAAACGCACAAAGGGAGCACAGACACUGACAAUUCAGUGUUUAGGAUUUCCUAACCACCUUUUCUGAGGACUCACAUUGGUACUAUUUAACACUAUGAGGAGACCACUAUAUACAAAUUUUGUUUUUAAGCAUAUUCUCCCUUGAACACUGUCCAAGAAUACUGAUAGAUCAUUGUAAAAAUGUCAAAAAAAAAAUCAAUCAUGCCAUAGAAUUGAUGCCAUACCACAUUUCACUGUUACAGCACAGCAAAUACGAGACUGUUUGAUCUUAACUGCUCUAAGCGUUCGCUGUUACUAUCAAGUAUUAUAUACUAGUAUUAUAAAAGUAUAAAUAGUUCUAAGUAUUAAAAACUUAAAAGGUAUUUCUGGUAUAUUUUCAUUGCUAACGAUGCACUGAUAACAUUAUUCAGUCGUAGAAACAACUCCUCUCAUUCACACACAUUCAAGACAAUGAAGUUUUAGUUUUCUGUUGUUAGCACAAGAAUUUCUACCAACUUUACCUUUGCAUAGGUUACAUAUUCAGUGAAAAUCAUGCCAAGCAUGCAAAAAUCUGCUGGUA